AAUCAACGCUGGCGGCGUGCCUAACACAUGCAAGUCGAACGCGAAAGCCCCUUCGGGGGUAAGUAGAGUGGCGUCCGGGUGAGUAACACGUGGGUAAUCUACCUUCGGGUGGGGAAUAACUCAGGGAAACUUGAGCUAAUACCGCAUAAAGCAGCGGCACCUAAUGGUGAUUAGUUGUUAAAGCGGGGGAUCGCAAGACCUCGCGCCUGAAGAGGAGCCUGCGGCAGAUUAGCUAGUUGGGAGGUAAUGGCUCACCAAGGCAUCGAUCUGUAGCUGGUCUGAGAGGACGGCCAGCCACACUGGCACUGACACACGGGCCAGACUCCUACGGAGGCAGCAGUGGGGAAUUUUGGGCAAUGGGCGAAAGCCUGACCCAGCAACGCCGCGUGAGGG
rnacentral:rRNA from 1 species